GACGAACGCUGGCGGCGUGCCUAAUACAUGCAAGUAGAACGCUGAAGAGAGGAGCUUACUCUUCUUGGAUGAGUUGCGAACGGGUGAGUAACGCGUAGGUAACCUGCCUUGUAGCGGGGGAUAACUAUUGGAAACGAUAGCUAAUACCGCAUAACAAUGGAUGACACAUGUCAUUUAUUUGAAAGGGGCAAUUGCUCCACUACAAGAUGGACCUGCGUUGUAUUAGCUAGUAGGUGAGGUAAUGGCUCACCUAGGCGACGAUACAUAGCCGACCUGAGAGGGUGAUCGGCCACACUGGGACUGAGAAACGGCCCAGACUCCUAAGGGAGGCAGCAGUAGGGAAUCUUCGGCAAUGGGGGCAAACCUGACCGAGCAACGCCGCGUGAGUGAAGAAGGUUUUCGGAUCGUAAAGCUCUGUUGUAAGUCAAGAACGGGUGUGAGAGUGGAAAGUUCACACUGUGACGGUAGCUUACCAGAAAGGGACGGCUAACUACGUG
rnacentral:rRNA from 1 species